rnacentral:tRNA from 1 species
ACUUACCUAAUACAAGUAAAAAGUAUACUUGACUUCCAAUCAAGAAAUUUGUGAAAACAAGAUAAGUA